rnacentral:rRNA from 1 species
UACGUAGGGGGCAAGCGUUGUCCGGAAUCAUUGGGCGUAAAGCGCGUGUAGGCGGCCCGGUAAGUCCGCUGUGAAAGUCGGGGGCUCAACCCUCGAAUGCCGGUGGAUACUGUCGGGCUAGAGUGCGGAAGAGGCGAGUGGAAUUCCUGGUGUAGCGGUGAAAUGCGCAGAUAUCAGGAGGAACACCAAUGGCGAAGGCAGCUCGCUGGGACGGUACUGACGCUGAGGCGCGAAAGCUAGGGGAGCAAACGGG